GAUGAACGCUGGCGGCGUGCCUAAUACAUGCAAGUCGAGCGAACGGACGAGAAGCUUGCUUCUCUGAUGUUAGCGGCGUACGGGUGAGUAACACGUGGAUAACCUACCUAUAAGACUGUGAUAACUUCGGGAAACCGGAGCUAAUACCGGAUAAUAUUUUGAACCGCAUGGUUCAAAAGUGAAAGACGGUCUUGCUGUCACUUAUAGAUGGAUCCGCGCUGCAUUAGCUAGUUGGUAAGGUAACGGCUUACCAAGGCAACGAUGCAUAGCCGACCUGACAGGGUGAUCGGACACACUGGAACUGAGACACGGUCCAGACUCCUACGGGAGGCAGCAGUAGGGAAUCUUCCGAAAUGGGCGAAAGCCUGACGGAGCAACGCCGCGUGAAUGAUGAAGGUCUUCGGAUCGUAAAACUCUGUUAUUAGGGAAGAACAUAUGUGUAAGUAACUAGGCACAUCUUGACGGUACCUAAUCAGAAAGCAACGGCUAACUACGUG
rnacentral:rRNA from 1 species